UCAUACAUGCAGAACAAUUGUUCUAUGUUUGGGUGCAUGGCGAUUGGAUCUGACAAUUUGAGAUUCAUUUAUUUCAUGGCUUUCGGCAUUGGAAUUGGGAUGGUGCAGUUGGAUAACUAUUACAAAGAACUUGAGGAAUGGAGAACAUAAGUCCUUCGUUUUGCUACAUCCAUAUGUUAAUUUAUGAACUCUGUGGAGAAUGUCAGGUGCAUUGAAUGCAGCUGUCUGUAGAUAAUUUCAAUAUUAGUCACUGUCUAUAGAGUCCAUAAAAAUGCAGUUGUCCAUAUUUUCAAAGAAUUGCAGAUGUAGAUAAUUUCCAAUCUUGCUUCAUGUACUUACUUUGAACAUAUGAUCAGCGAACUGAGGCAAAAUAUUUGUUUCUUGAGAUGAACUUUCAGUACUCUAUUGAACCCGGUGAUUUUUAUGUA